UACGUAGGGGGCAAGCGUUGUCCGGAAUCAUUGGGCGUAAAGCGCGUGUAGGCGGCUCGAUAAGUCUGCUGUGAAAGUCCAGGGCUCAACCCUGGGAUGCCGGUGGAUACUGUCGAGCUCGAGUCCGGAAGAGGUGUGUGGAAUUCCUGGUGUAGCGGUGAAAUGCGCAGAUAUCAGGAAGAACACCAAUGGCGAAGGCAGCUCUCUGGGACGGUACUGACGCUGAGACGCGAAAGCGUGGGGAGCGAACAGG
rnacentral:rRNA from 1 species